GACAGAGGAUGCAAGCGUUAUCCGGAAUGAUUGGGCGUAAAGCGUCUGUAGGUGGCUUUUCAAGUCCGCCGUCAAAUCCCAGGGCUCAACCCUGGACAGGCGGUGGAAACUGCCAAGCUGGAGUACGGUAGGGGCAGAGGGAAUUUCCGGUGGAGCGGUGAAAUGCGCAGAUAUCAGGAGGAACACCAAUUGCGAAGGCAGCUCGCUGGGACGUUACUGACGCUGAGACGCGAAAGCGUGGGGAGCAAACAGG
rnacentral:rRNA from 1 species